AUGUUAUCAAGAAAGGUGGAGGGACUAGACCCUUUGAAGCCUUAGCAACCUCCCAUUUUUUGGAAAAGGUGCUAAAUUCUACCCAAUUAAAAAAUGGAUAGAUAACAA
rnacentral:ncRNA from 2 species